GAUGAACGCUGGCGGCGUGCCUAAUACAUGCAAGUCGAGCGAAUGGAUUAAGAGCUUGCUCUUAUGAAGUUAGCGGCGGACGGGUGAGUAACACGUGAGUAACCUGCCCAUAAGACUGGGAUAACUCCGGGAAACCGGGGCUAAUACCGGAUAACAUUUUGAACCGCAUGGUUCGAAAUUGAAAGGCGGCUUCGGCUGUCACUUAUGGAUGGACCCGCGUCGCAUUAGCUAGUUGGUGAGGUAACGGCUCACCAAGGCAACGAUGCGUAGCCGACCUGAGAGGGUGAUCGGCCACACUGGGACUGAGACACGGCCCAGACUCCUACGGGAGGCAGCAGUAGGGAAUCUUCCGCAAUGGACGAAAGUCUGACGGAGCAACGCCGCGUGAGUGAUGAAGGCUUUCGGGUCGUAAAACUCUGUUGUUAGGGAAGAACAAGUGCUAGUCGAAUAAGCUGGCACCUUGACGGUACCUAACCAGAAAGCCACGGCUAACUACGUGCCAGCCGCCGCUGUAA
rnacentral:rRNA from 1 species